GACGAACGCUGGCGGCGUGCCUAAUACAUGCAAGUCGAACGCUUCUUUCCUCCCGAGUGCUUGCGCUCAAUUGGAAAGCGGAGUGGCGGACGGGGGAGUAACACGUGUGUAACCUACCCAUCCGAGGGGGAUAACACUUGGAAACAGGUGCUAAUACCGCAUAACAGUUUAUGCCGCAUGGCAUAAGAGUGAAAGGCGCUUUCGGGUGUCGCUGAUGGCUGGACCCGCGGUGCAUUAGCUAGUUGGGGAGGUAACGGCUCACCAAGGCCAAGAUGCAUAGACGACCGGAGAGGGGGAUCGGCCACACUGGGACUGAGACACGGCCCAGACUCCUACGGGAGGCAGCAGUAGGGAAUCUUCGGCAAUGGUCGAAAGUCUGACCGAGCAACGCGGCGUGAGUGAAGAAGGUGUUCGGAUCGUAAAACUCUGUUGUUAGAGAAGAACAAGGACGUUAGUAACUGAACGUUCCCUGACGGUAUCUAACCAGAAAGCCACGGCUAACUACGUG
rnacentral:rRNA from 1 species